ensembl:lncRNA
GUGCUACUGAUCCAAAAUACUCAAAGCUUCAUAGAACUGAAACCAACAUUUAUUUUAGUUCCAUUCUGCUGCUGAUACAGACUUUAGGUUUCUGAACAUUAACCUUGUUGCUGCCUUUCAUAGUGUGUAACUUGAAGGCCCUGAGUACUCUGAGUACUUUCUCCCACACUGGAAACACUGGGAUGAUCACAUUAUUUGAACAUUACCUAAUAAGACUGAUUCAGCACAGACAGUUAGUUAUGUUAAACUUUUCUAGCAGUCCUGGAACAGGUUGGCUACUGAAGCAUGUUUUAACCGAAACAUGUUUUUACUGAAACAGGUUUGUUAUUGAAAGACGUUUUUACUGAAACAUGUUUUUACUGAAACAGGUUUUUACUGAAACAGGUUUGUUAUUGAAACACGUUUUUACUGAAACAUGUUUUUAUUUUUACUGAAACAGGUUUGUUAUUGAAACAGGUUUUUACUGAAACACGUUUUUACUGAAACAGGUUUUUACUGAAACAGGUUUGUUAUUGAAACAGGUUUUUACUGAAACAGGUUUUUACUGAAACAGGUUUUUACUGAAACAGGUUUGUUAUUGAAAGACGUUUUAACCGAAACAUGUUUUUACUGAAAC